CAGUCGCCGCGGGAAUACGAAGGGGGCUAGCGUUGUUCGGAUUUACUGGGCGUAAAGCGCACGUAGGCGGACUUUUAAGUCAGGGGUGAAAUCCCGGGGCUCAUCCCCGGAACUGCCUUUGAUACUGGGAGUCUUGAGUUCGAGAGGGGUGAGUGGAAUUGCGAGUGUAGAGGUGAAAUUCGUAGAUAUUCGCAGGAACACCAGUGGCGAAGGCGGCUCACUGGCUCGAUACUGACGCUGAGGUGCGAAAGCGUGGGGAGCAAACAGGAUUAGAUACCCGGGUAGUCCCUGUCUCUUAUAC
rnacentral:rRNA from 1 species